rnacentral:misc_RNA from 1 species
CAAAAUGCUUAUUCAGCUGCUAAUGUAGCUUUUUGGGAUUUUCUUGAGGCGUCCAUUGCAAAACUUACAUCCUGUGCAAAGUCAAGCAGCCGAAGAAAAUUUGAGUGGUUUCGUGCAACAAUGAAAGGGUUUCCAGAAACAUGAGAAACUGUACCCUUGGAUAUAGUAGCCUUAUCAACUGCUGCUUGAUUAUUUAAGUUAUCAAUGUCUGAUGCAGACGAUGAUGGUGAUUCACCUUGGGAAAAUG